rnacentral:lncRNA from 1 species
GCAUAGUUCAGUCAAUACAGUUCAUUAAAGUUUUCUAUGAUUUACCAUUUUCUGUAUUGAUGAUUUUAUAUUUACCCAGUAAUUAUAAUUCAUGAAGUGUCGUUUUACUUCCAAUAUUACUGCUCUCUACACAGGUGACUGGUUCGCAUAAAUACAUUAUGAUGCCAACCCUGUCACAUACACCUGUAUUUGUACGGGGUGUAUGUGAUAGGGUUGGUGCAAUGAUGUCAUCAGGCUGGGUGUUCGUAUGUGGGCGGACCUGCCUGGAGACGUAUAGAGGAACAAUGUCGCGGUUCCUAAGACCAUUGGAAAUAUGUGUUUUCCAAUAGUCUUAGGCAACCCCUGUGAAAGGAUCAUUUGACCCCCAAAGGGGUCACAACCCACAGGUUGAGAACCACUGAUUUAAAUUAUGUUGAAAAGCAACAUAAAUUUAUUAAAAUAUUGUCUUUUUUUUAAUAAAAUAUAUUUACUGGUAA